GCGGCAUCCGGGAUCUGGCGCGGCUUUUGCCUUUCGCUCCAGCCUGAGCUCGGUUAGGGCCUCAGCGCCCUGCUUCCACCCCUCAGGGAGGCCUCCGUGUUCGGCCUCAGCCUCCGUCGCUCUGUGACCUGUGGGUAUUGGAUGAUUCCUAGCUGAGACUCCGCUACACCCCUGAAGUGGGGAAAUGAGUUAGCUGAUCAGGGACAGUGCAUAUGACAUCUGGAUCCAGGAUCUGCAGCUCUACCAGGGCAGUUCUGUUUUCCGUUUGCACUCCACAAAGUCAGCCUGAGUCUCUCCUGCCUGGAUCACUAUGGGGGCUUCAGCCCAGGGUCACUGAGGACACUCUCACCAGCAUCAAGAAAGAGAAAUGACUCAUCCAGGGUUUGUUCCUCCCCUCACAGAAAGAAUCUCCUUGGUUCAUAACAGAUAAGAGUUGUUCCAGUUUUUUUGGUUCUUUGGUGAAAAUGAGGAGAUCUAGAGACUCAAACUGAUCAGUAAGUAAUUGCUUCUAUUUCUUAUGGUAAUUAGAAAAAGAAAUGAACCAGUCAUGGUCCCUACCAUCAAGUAACCUGCAGUCUGGAGCACAAAGACGGAAACUGUACAGGAGACUUAAGCUUCAUUUGGGUUACUUUUAUCGUUUUGUGAGUUUUGAUGCCUCCACCUGAAGGGCUAUUCAUGGACUGAAGAGAAUUUGUUGUUGUUGUUAUUAUUAUUUGUAUUGUUUUUAGCUUGUGAAUAAUAAGUAUUUGGCUCUUAAUAUAAUUGGUCUAGAAAAAAUAAGGAUUUUGGUUAAGUUCCUUCUUAUUGUAUGUUGUAAUAUAGACAGGGAAGUGGCGAAAGUUUAUUAAAAUCACACAAACUCUGGGAAUAAAAUCUCUCUUGGUCAGGAUUAGAAAAAACAAAACUGAAAAUACUUAAUGGCCUAGAGAGCAGAAGCCUAGGGCCCACUUUCUGUCCAAACUGUGCCCAGAUCCACUCUCUGCUGAAUCUUGUCCAGGUCUGACCCCACACUGAAAUCUCCCACAGAACUGCUUAGAGGAGAUAAGAGUUUGGGGUGGCUACUCCUACUGCCUCUCCAGAGCUGGUGCUUCCAAUUUCCUGAAACACAAUAGCAGAUAAAUUGGGAAAAGCAAUAUACUUUUGUGCCUUAAAUUCUUUUUUAUAAAAUUAAAACCAGUGUUUCUAGAGACAUCCAGCAAUCUGUUCUCCAGCCCUAUAGUUUUAGUGUUUGUUUGUUUUUCUUUACAAUUUUCAAAGUAAAUACAAAAAUAAAAAAUUCCUCUGAAUUGCACUUAACACUUUCUUUCUGUUUCUCUCCCAUCUAUCUAUAUUGAACUAUUCUAUACAUUUUUAAAAAAAUCAGUCAUAGGAAAACAAGAAGAAAUAGAAAUGCCGGGCCCUGCAUUUAAAUCCUGGGAAUUAUGGGACACUUACUACCCACCUCCCAGCAUGUUAUGAGAAUUAACGCACAUAAUGUGAGCUUCCCAGCAGAGGGCUCUGUGACAUACUCCUGCACACAUAGUACAUGCUCCAUAAAGAUCACAUUAAUGCAUGUGCACAUGUUUUUCAAAUGCAGACUUACUCAGACAUUGCCACCAUCUCCAGCCUCUGUAACCUUUGAAGGGCCUGCAGAGAAUGCCAUGUUUCAGGAUGAUGAUUGGUAGUCUUGUCUUCGGGUGAAAAGUAUUUGUGUUGGGAUAAGGGACCCUGUGUGCUGUGCCUGCUUUCUCUAGCUGAGUGUUACUAUAAUGGAUCUAGGGGAGGAAUAUCAGCAUUAACAGGAGACUUACUAUAAGAAGCUGUAUAAUUCAUGGACCCUUUUCAAACCUCCAGAAUUUUGUUACUUACAGUAAGGCUUAGAAUAGCAAAUAAUUUAUACGGACAUUGAAGUCUGAAAGCCAGUGCUUAGCUAAGUGACUCUCAGCUGAGUCUUCUAAUAGUAUCACAUGGACUGUUUGAAGAGAAACAGCCACUUUUUCCCUCCCCACAGAUCCUGUCUAUUGUUCUGGAUGGAAACAUCCCUGUUUUUUAAAUUAAAACAUGAUUCUACAGCGAGGCCAGGGUCAAGCAUGAGGGCUUCCAGAUACUUAAUGAGAGGUGAGUUCACCCUUUGUUCCAGGACGUCACAGGGUCUACUCUGCUUGGUUUUCAUAAGGGCAGGUCAGUGUAGCCCGUAUUUCCAUUGUAGCAACAGAAAUUUCUGGCAUGCUGUAGAAAAUGAAGUAGAGAUUCCUCUUCAAAGGGACUUUCCUCCCAGUCUAAUUGAGAAUAAAUAGUAACCUCUCUUAGAAGCAAAAUUUACUCAAAUACCUAUGCUGGUAUUUUUAAAUAUCUGCUAACCGUAAUAAAGAAAUCAAUAUACUUUGUAUUCUUAGCUCCCACAUUUUAGCCUAAGAUAUUUGCCCUGGGAUGCCUAAGCAGGUCCAAGCAAGCAUUAGGUCAUAGGCUGUUCCUCUUACUUAUUUGGAGGUGUUUUUGGCCUUUCUCAGCAUUCCACAAGUUACUUCCUCUUUUCCUUUAUUCUCCUCUGCCUUCCCCUCUUUUGGAAAGUUCUAAAUUGCUAGCCAGUCGGGACAAGGACAAAAUGUGAGGUCCUAUUCCAGCCAAUGGAAACCAGACACAGCCAUAGGGUGGAUGCAUCAGGUUAUAAAUGACCCUGCCUCCUUUAUUUGUGUGUGAUCUCAUGGCAAGACUGCUAGUGAGUGGCACCCUUUCUACAGAAAGUAAAUUAGCCUUGCUAAGAAGAUCCUUUGUCCCAGUGUUGAUUUUUGUUGACACCGAAUAUGCAUUCCUGACACAUGCUGUCCUUUUUCCUCAGAGUUAUGGAAUACUUUAGAGAACAUUACUGUGUUGAAAGUUAUUUUAUCAGAUAAUUAUAGUCAGUCCCAUAAGUCAGAACCAGCUCACAUAACUCAUUUCUCCUGUAGUCAAUUUAAGAACUCUGUCCUUAGGCCGGGCGCGGUGGCUCACGCCUGUAAUCCCAGCACUUUGGGAGGCUGAGACGGGUGGAUCACGAGGUCAGGAGAUCGAGACCAUCCUGGCUAACACGGUGAAACCCCGUCUCUACUAAAAAUACAAAAAAUUAGCCGGGCAUGGUGGUGCGCGCCUGUAGUCCCAGCUACGCGGGAGGCUGAGGCAGGAGAAUGGCGUGAACCCGGGAGGCAGAGCUUGCAGUGAGUCGAGAUCGCACCACUGCACUCCAGCCUGGGCGACAGAGCGAAACUCCGUCUCAAAAAAAAAAAAAAAAAAAAAAAAAAAGAACUCUGUCCUUUGAUAAAUAUGUGUUUUCAGGAACUCUUAACAUUCAGGGAUGUGGCCAUAGAAUUCUGCCCAGGAGAGUGGAAAUGUCUGGAUCCUGCCCAACAGAAUUUAUAUAGAGAUGUGAUGUUGGAGAACUACAGAAACCUGGUUCCCUGGGUGAGGAUAACUGUAAAAUGUAAUUGCUAAUGCUCCCUCAGAGUUUCUGAAAAGGCUGCAUUUUUUUCUCAUGUUCACAAAUUAGGGGUGUCUUCAGUCCCAUGCUGUUAAAUCUUCUAAGAAUUCUCUCUUUUUUUUAGUGAUCUCCCUUCAAGUUUACAUGGACAGCCAAUGUCCACUUUAUCACUUAUAAGGGGCUGCAUGAUCUCACUGCUGUUCCAUUGCUUUUGCAGACAUAGGAAUAUUUGUGUUAUUGAGGAGCUCUAUGUUAAUUUAUUUUUUUCAAAUAUUGUUUUUGCAUCAUGUCUAAAAUAUUUAAGGCAAGUAGUGGACGUAUUAGGAUUUGGGUCAGAAAUCCCAGGAACACCAGAGACAGAUGUUGCAGAUUUUCUGCUUACUGAUUUUUAAUCCUAUUGCAAAUGUAAUUCCACAAAAAUUCUUUGCUAGCAAUUUUUUCAGAACAAUAAGCAUUUUCCUAAAUAUGAAAAAUGUUGAUUGUACUUCAAAAUGUUAUUGUUUUAGUGUAAACUGAGAUUUGUAAUUUAAACUCUAUAUGUGUAAAUUUUCAAGUUAUAAUAUAGUUUAAAGCAUGGGUUUCCAACCUUUUGGCUUCCCUGGGCCACAUUAGAAGCAGAAUUGUCUUGGGCCACACAUAAAAUACACUAACACUAAUGAUACCUGAUGAGCUUUAAAAGAAAAGUUCAUGGAUAGUUUUUAUGAAAUCUACCACAACAGGUAUGCAAAAUAUUCUUGCAUUCAUAGGGUUGGACACCACUUGAUUAAAGUAUCUACUCACCUUCUAGAUUUCUUAAAUGUACUGUCAUAAACCAGCUUAGAACACUGCUAAGUGUAUAUUAUUAUUUCUUAAUAACUAUUAUCUUAUAAUUUUAGUAAGACACCUACUGGGAUUCUGUUAUUGAGAUCUAUCUGUAUCUAAAAAUGUGGGUCUCAUGCAUAUACACACCUAUAUAAUUUAUAUAUGUGUAUUGUAAAUUCUCACUUAACAUUGUUGAUAGGUUCAUGGAAACUGUAAAUGAAGCAACAUAUUCUUUUAAAAAAAAUAAUUUUAACUGGGCACGGUGACUCAAACCUGUAAUCCCAGCACUUUGGGAGGCUGAGGUGGGCAAAUCAUGAGGUCAGGAGUGCAAGAUCAGCCUGGCCAACAUGGUGAAACCCCAUCUCUACUAAAAAUAUAAAAAAUUAGCUGGACAUGGUGGCAUGCACCUGUAAUCCUAGCUACUCGGGAGGCUGAGGCAGGAGAAUCGCUUGAACCCGGGAGGUGGAAUUACCGUAGUUUAAUUGAUAGAAACAAGGGUUAUGUUUGAAUGCAUAUAACAACAUUGUUUUAUUUAACGAUGCAGUUUUCAAGAACCUAUUUUGAACAUUAACUGAGGACUUACUGUACUUCUGUGUUUGUGUGACAUGGAUUUUUCUGAUACAUAAAAAUGGUAUAACUAUAUAUUUAAUGUGUACAAUGUAAUGAUUUGAUAUGCAUGUACAUUGUGAAACAAAAUACAGUCAAGUUGAUGAACAUAUCUAUUACCUCAAAUUUUUUUUGUAGUAAGAACACUUAAGAUCUACUGUCAUAGGCCAGGCACGGUGGCUCAUGCUUGUAAUCCCAGCACUUUGGGAGGCUCAGGUGGGUGGAUCACGAGGUCAGGAGUUCGAGACCAGCCUGGCCAACAUGAUGAAACCCUGUGUCUAUUAAAAAUACAAAAAAUUAGCCGGGCGUGGUUGCACGCACCUGUAAUCCCAGCUACUCAGGAGGCUGAGGCAGGAGAAUUGCUUGAACCCAGCAGGGAGAGGUUGUAGUGAGCCAAGAUCACGCCACUGCACUCCAGCCAGGGCAACAGAGUGAGACUCUGUCUCACGAAAGAAAAAAAAAAGCAAAUUAUAAGCAUACAUUACAGUAUUACUAACUAUAAACACAAUGCUAUUUGGCUAAUCUAAUGCUAAUUUACAUUACAUUUCUCAGACUUGCUCAAUUUAUAACUAAAAAUUUGUACUCUUUGAACAACAUCGCCUCCUAUUUCCACCCUCAGACACUAACAACCACUACUGUACACUCUGCUUCUGCCGGGCGUGGUGGCUCACACCUGUAAUCCCAGCUCUCAGGGAGGCAGAGCUGGGAGGACAGCCUGAGCCCAGGAGUUUGAGACCUGCCUGGGCAAUAUAGCAAGACCCCAUGCUCCAUAAAAAGGAAGAAAAAAAAAAAGACAAAAAAAUAAUAAGUGUAACUACACUCUGCUUCUAUGAGUUUAUGUUUUUAGAUUUCUCAUCUAACUUAAAACAAGCAGUUUCUUUGUCUUUCUGUGUUUGGCUUAUUUCAUUUAGCAUAAUGUCCUCCAGGUCUGUCCAUGUUGUAAAUGGCUAGAUUUCCUUCUGUUGACGGCUGAAUAGUAUUCUGUGUAUAUAUACACACGCACCAUAUUUUGGCUAUUGUAAACAACACUACAGUGAACAUAGGGCUGAAGAUAUUUCAUCAAGAUAGAAAUUUUAUUUCCUUUGGUAGGAUGCCCAGAAGUGGUAUUGCUGGAUUAUAUGGUAUUUCUAUUUUUAUUUUUUACUGGUUUUUAUGAUGACUUUAUUUAUUUACAUCUCACCAACAGCAUACAGAUUUCCCUUGUAUGUAUGUCUUCAAUGGGAAAAAAAGUAACCUUUUGUCUAUUUUUGAAUGGGUUAUUAUCGUUGUUUUGCUUUGAAUUCUAGAAGUUUUUUGUAUGUUUUGGAUAUUAACUUCUUGUUAGAUAUAUGGCUCGCAAAUAUUUUCCUAUGUUAUAGGGUUUAAAAAAAUUUUUUUCUUUGCUGUGCAGAAGCUGUUCAAUUUGAUGCAGUCCCACUUGUUUGUAUUAUUUGUUGCUAUGCUUUUGAUCUCAUAUCAAAAAAGUUAAUGCCAAGACCAAUAUCAACAAAGUUUUUUUUUUUAAUAUGUUUUCUUCAGGAGUUUUAAGGUUUUAUGUCUUACAUUUAAGUCUUUCAUUUUGAGUUAAUUUUGGGGUAUGGUAUAAGAAAAUAUUCUACUUUUAUUCUUUCACUUGUGGAUAUCCAGUUUUUCUGGCACCAUGUAUUGACAAGACUGUAUUUUCUGCAUUGUAUAUUCUUAGUGGCCUUGUCAAAGAUUAGUUGACCUUGUAUUCCUGGUUUUGUUUCUGGGCUCCCUAUUUUGUUCCAUUGGUUUUUGUAUUUGUCUUUACGCAUAUACCAUACUCUUGAUUAUUAUAACCUUUAAAUAAAAUUUGAAAUUAGAGAGUAUGAUACCCUCGCAUUGUUCUUUCUCAAAAUUGCUCAGGUUAUUUAAAGUUCUUUAAGGUUACACUUAAAUUUUACAAUUGUGUUUUCUAUUACUGUGAAAAAUGCAACUAAAACUUUGAUAGGGAUCACAUUGAAUCUAGAGAUCAUUUUGGAUAAUAUGAUACUUUGACAGUGUUAGUUAUCCUAAUGGAAUAUGUCUACAUUUAUUUGUGUCUACUUCAAUUUCUGUCAUCAAUCUUAUUGUAUUUAAUGUAUAAUUUUUUUAUUGGUUAAAUUUAUUUUAAUUAAGUUUCUUAUUUUUGUACUAUUGCAAGUGGAAAUUGUUUCUUUUUUUGGAAAGUUUGUUGCUACUGUACAAAAAUGCAAAAAAUAUUUGUAUGUUGGGCCAGGUGCAGUCUCUCAUUUCUGUAAUCCCUGCCCUUUCAGAGUCCAAGGCAGGUGGGUCACUUGAGGACGGGAGUUUGAGAUGAGUCUGGACAAUGCAGUGAGACCCUGUCUCCAAAAAAGAAAAAAAAGAAAAAAAACCCCACAAGUAUUUGUAUGUUGAUUAUGUAUCUUGAUACUUUAAUGAAUGCAUUUACUAGUUCAAACAAUUUUUGUUGUUUUACUCUAGGGUUUUAUAUAUAUAUAUAUAUACAUAUAUGCAUGAUCUUAUUACCUACAAACAGUAACAUUUUUACUUCUUUUCCAAGCUGGAGAGCUUUGUUCUCCUUUUCCUUGCCCAACUGUUCUGAAAGAAACUUCCAGAAAUAUGUUAAGGAAGCUGUGGCCCUGGAGGCAGGCCUGCAGAUCUUGGCCUCAGCUGUGGACUCUGAAGCAGCCCUGUGCCUGUGCAUUUGAAGAAUCUAACAAGGGUUUCUAUAAACUAUUUUUGACAGGUAAAGAUUGUCACGCGCGUCCGUGUGAAGAGAGUCCACCAACAGGCUUUGUGUGAGCAACAAGACUGUUUAUUUCACCUGGGUGCGGGUGGGCUAAGUCUGAAAAAGGAGUCAGCAAAGGGUGGUGGGUUUAUCAUUGUUUCUUAUAGGUUUGGGAUAGGCAUACAAAGUACCUUCUUAAGGGCAGGGGAGAAUAUAUGUAUCAG